CAAAAUGAAUGGACUCAGCCGACCAUUAAUUAAACCUCAGAAGCGUAUGUCGUCUUCAAGGCGGAUUGGCCUGUCAUGCGCGAACUGCCAGACCAGCACUACAACAUUGUGGCGCAGAAACGCAGACGGAGAACCCGUGUGCAACGCGUGUGGACUUUACACAAAGUUACACGGGGUGGCCAGACCCCUUGCCAUGAAGAAAGAAGGUAUUCAGACAAGGAAAAGAAAACCAAAAACCUUGAACAAACCAAAGGGAUC